rnacentral:rRNA from 1 species
AAAGGCUGCGGUAUUUUGACCGUACAAAGGUAGCAUAAUCAUUAGUUUUUUAAUUGAAAACUCGUAUGAAUGGUUUAACGAAAUAUUGACUGUUUCAUAAAAAUUUAAAUAGAAAUUAAUUUUUUAGUUAAAAAGCUAAAAUAAAAUUAAAAGACGAGAAGACCCUAUAGAGUUUUAUACUAAAUAUUUUAUAAUUUAUUUAUAAUAAUUAAAAUUUUAUUAUUUUUUGUAUUUUGUUGGGGUGACAAUAAAAUUUUAAAACCUUUUAUUUUUUAUUAAACAAUGAUUUUUGAAUAAUUGAUCCAUUAUUAGUGAUUAUAAGAUUAAAUUACCUUAGGGAUAACAGCG